AUUUAUAAAUAUUAAUAUUGUGUAGGUUCACUUGGUAACAAGCCACCUGGUAACAAUUUUUUUUAUCCGAUUAAGUGCACAACACAGCACAACAUGACACUUCCUUUUAUAACUUGCACAACACUUACUACACAUUUUUAUCCGAUUAAGUGCACAGUACAUUCUCCUAUUCCUAAACAAGCCAUCUGGUAACAUAGCUUACCAAAACAGUUUAGGAUCAAUGUCUUUCUUUCAAAAAAUAAACAAAGGAAUUACACAUAUUUGUUUUUAAAAAACAAUGGUCGGAUCUAAAAUUCGGUGGCGCGACUGAGCAAAUCAAGUCUCAAUUUUGGUGCGACUAAUCGGAACCAAAGCUUGUUGCUUCUGACUGGAUCUCCAAAAUUUUCGAUGACAUCCGAUUAUAAACUUUUUCUAACAGGUAUGUUUAUAUAUAAUUUUUUUCAAGAGUUUUUCACACUUAAAUUCAGGAUAAUACAUACAAAAUUAGAUAAUUAACCUGGCUCUGAUGCCAUUAGUAGCAAAUUCAGAGUAAAAAAAAGUGUGUAAAUAUGUUGCAGCGGAAGUAGUUGGAUUUGCUAUUGUCGCCCCAAGUUAAUUUUUUUCUCUCUUGAAAACGGAAUAUUGUUUCAGAACCAAUAAAAGAGAACUGUGCUUCCACAUUUUCUGAAAAUCAAACUUCCUCUGAAUAGUCUUUUCAAUUCUUAUAUAAAUUGGAGGUUAUAAUGGCCUUUGUAUGUCCUCAAAAAGGCUUAAAGUCGGCAUAUUUUGAUAACAUGAGGUUGUUCAGUUCCUUCAUUAUAAUUAUUACAUGGAGUUGUUUUUAUUCAGCAUCCAUUGUCAAAAUAGAUUUGAAUAAUUAUUUAAGCUAUGUUUUCAGUGCACGUGCUGUCAUUUUCAAAAAAAAGGAAAGGUCCAGUGCUUAAUAGCAAAAUUCUAAAUCUUAACCAUUAUUCUCUGUGGAAGUCGUGUCUGCAUAGGUGAGGAUUAUUGGUCAAGUGCCUUUCUGUUUGGGGUUUGGGAGAGGGCCGCGGGAAGGGUGGGUCCCAUCUGAUGGGCUACUUGGUUUUAAUACAGUGCAAUCGUGAAUGUCAACCAUGAGUUCUGCAUUUCUUAAGAUAACAUAAUGCGAGUUGAGAAGGAUUUUAAGGGUCUUCCAUUCACUCACUUGGUUUGAGAAGCCUCAUUACUGGUUUUGAAGACCACUAUGCAUAUCCAGAUUUUCUUUUUGCCUGACUAUGCAUAAGGACUUGUUCGAAAUAUCAUUGGUGGCUUGGAGAACAUUCAUCUUCCUAUCAUAAUAACAGACCACAUUGACAAUUAUCUGAUGAUUAUUAUAUUCUCAUACUCACCGCGUAUCUUAUGUCUUCACUAUGUAUACAUAGAAUUUCUUCCUUCAUGCCAUUAGUCAAGUAAAACACUAGAGCCCUCUUGUUUAGAUUUGGUUGCAAGAAUAAUAUAUGGAGUUCAUUCAAGUGCUUAGUUUUGUGUUUCGGAAUGUCCAGUAUAGCCCUAUGGAUUGCGAAAUUUUAUAUUAAUUCCAUUAAUAUUUCCUAAUGUUUUAGGUUGUAUAAUGCAUAAAUUGGAUCAUAUCAUGAGAAAAUAAAGUGCAUUUCAGCAUUUGUAUGUUUCAUGUGCUUCCAAAGGUUUUCUUACACACAUUUCAGCAGUAUAUAUCAUAGCUAAACUAAGUUGUCACUAUUUUCUUAAUGCAGAAAAAACUGGGGUUUUGCGAGUUGUUCCAGGCAAAACACUCCUUUUACAUGGAACGGAGCGCAUGUGAAAGCCAACUCUUGUGACUUGAUAUAUGUUUUAACACAGUGGGUUACUGUUGGGAACAAAAUUAAGUAGCAUUGUAUUAUAUAUGUAUAGGGAAGUUUGUUUCGCCGCUAUAAACUUGGUGAUGCCAUUCGUGCUUAAAUAAAUGAAAGUAAAAUGUGUUUAAUAUGUGAUAACUCGGCUCUUGUGUCCUUCUGGAGAUGGGUUAGUGAUCGUUAAGGCCGUCUCCCAAUUUAUUCUUCCCAUCCGUAAUUGUAAUUUCCGUCUUCCCUUUGUCUAUGAUUUGAAUAUUUAGGAAAUUACAUGGAAUGACUCUUACAGUGGGAGAUUAGUUUUUCUGUAC
rnacentral:lncRNA from 1 species